UGGAUUACUUUUUUUAUGUGAAGAAUUUCAUUCAAAUUGUAAACUGUUUUUUGGCUUUUUAUUGAAAAUACGCAUGCACACACAUUCAUGAAGAGAAGAGAAAUGGUGAGUGUUCCCAUUUGAGUGAGAACCACCCAGUGCAGGUAGCUGCUGUGAGCUUUGCAAUUACAAUUUGGGCCUGACAUAUGAGAUGGAAAAU
rfam:Tupaia chinensis contig28259, whole genome shotgun sequence.